AGCUAACACAUGCAAGUCCGAACGCAACUUCGGUUGAGUGGCGCACGGGUGAGUAACGCGUGGGAACCUGUCCUGUGGUACGGAAUAACAUCGGGAAACUGGUGCUAAUACCGUAUAUCCCCUGAGGGGGAAAGAUUUAUCGCCAUAGGAGGGGCCCGCGUAGGAUUAGCUAGUUUGGUGAGGUAACGGCUCACCAAGGCGACGAUCCUUAGCUGGUCUGAGAGGAUGAUCAGCCACACUGGGACUGAGACACGGCCCAGACUCCUACGGGAGGCAGCAGUGGGGAAUAUUGGACAAUGGGCGAAAGCCUGAUCCAGCCAUGCCGCGUGUGUGAUGAAGGCCUUCGGGUUGUAAAGCACUUUCGCACGUGACGAUGAUGACGGUAACGUGAGAAGAAGCCCCGGCUAACUUCGUGCCAGCAGCCGCGGUAAUACGAAGGGGGCAAGCGUUGUUCGGAAUUACUGGGCGUAAAGGGCGCGUAGGCGGUGCACUAAGUCAGGCGUGAAAGCCCUGGGCUCAACCCGGGAAUUGCGCUUGAUACUGGUGCGCUUGAAUCCAGGAGAGGUUGGUGGAAUUCCCAGUGUAAGAGGUGAAAUUCGUAGAGAUUGGGAAGAACCACCGGGUGGCGAAGGGCGGGCCAACUGGACUGGGUAUUGACGCUGAGGCGCGAAAAGCGUGGGGAGCCAAAACCGGGUUUAGAUUCCCUGGGUUGUCCGC
rnacentral:rRNA from 1 species